UAUUGUAUCGCGUUUGGAGUUUUUUUGGUGUAACCUUCGUCGCGCACCCGCAUAGCGGGUGGUUUAUUUGUCACGCACCUUACGGAGCGUGACGGACUAAAAGUCACAUAAUUAAAAAAGAAACCUUUGGGUUUCCUUUUUUUUUUAUUUUUUCCAUCAUAAGGAGGCGGGACAAAGUGGAUCAGUUUUCCCUCGAUGAGUAACAUCAUUAACUCGUCAACCGUAAAGCCCUCACUAAGAUUAUACACCUAGUGAGGGCUUUAUGUUCGUUUUCAUUAUUCUGUGGGUGAGGCGGAGCCAUCAUGGAUGUCUUUCCCACUCCC
rnacentral:sRNA from 1 species